rnacentral:lncRNA from 1 species
CUUUGUUAUUCAAAGGAUGUAACACCUUUUGGAUAGGAUAAUGACUAUUUAUUGAUUGAUUUACUGAUGAAUUGCGACUCUUCCCCCACACACACAGGGAGCAGGCAGCUGAGACAUUGGCUGAUCACUAAUUUGAUAUAAACAAAUUUAUGGACACUUUUCCCUCCUCUCUUUCAGCGGUUACCAGACAGCCAGACGGACAGCCAGACAGACAUGGGCUGCUGCUUCAGCGGGUCUGAGGGGGACGGAGAGGGGGACAUGAAGCACGGGGGGGACAGCGGCUGUAAGACGUGCUGUCUGAAGACCAGGAACUGCGUGAUGAGUGGAGAGUGUGGACGGGCUCUUCAGAUUGCCAACGUCUGUGCCAUGUGUGGAAUGUGCAUCCGCAUGUUUGUCUAGCUGCGACUCCAUGAGGUCAGACCUGCUCUCAUUCCCAUGGUAGCUGUACAGAGAGCUGUGAACAAUAGGACUGGUAUGCCACUCUCCCAUGGGUGGAUCACCUGGGAUCCAGCCAUGUUACAAAAAACAGACACACCCUGGACCCACCCUGUGCCUUAGAGCCAAUAGAAUCAGCACCCUGGACCCGCCCUGUGCCUUAGAGCCAAUAGAAUCAGCACCCUGGAGCCAAGCAGGAAGAGCUCCAGCUGGAGAGGGAACAGGCAGUAGGCUAGGCCCAACAGGCAGUAUGUAUGCACAAACACGAACACAUUGUUCAAGCCACCAAGUGGCCUUUUGAGAACUGGAAGAUCACGCAGGGAGUAGGUGGAAACAUAUUCAUACCGGCGAAGAGACUGUACCACCGGGACAUUCGGCUGUGAGGGGAAAUGAUGUUUGUUGUGGAGAGAGGAGGGGGACCGAUACGGGGGGCAGAAAGGGAUGAGAGCGGAGCUAGAGACAACAUUCUUUUUCAUGCCAAAUUCUCAAUAAAACGGUGCUUACAGGAUGACACCAGAAUGUACCAGGUAUAAAAUCUGAUAAUCCUUAUUGUAACAUAGUGGUUUGGAUGGAAAAGGGUUCAUAGCCUGUGUCCCAGAUGGCACCCUAUUCCCUUCAUAGUGCACUACUGAUAAGAGGAGGAAACUACAAGAUGAACUGACCAUGCUGAAACAAACCAG